rnacentral:rRNA from 1 species
GGACGCAAGUCUGAACCAGCCAUGCCGCGUGCAGGAUGACGGUCCUAUGGAUUGUAAACUGCUUUUGCACAGGAAGAAACACUCCGACGUGUCGGAGCUUGACGGUACUGUGAGAAUAAGGAUCGGCUAACUCCGUGCCAGCAGCCGCGGUAAUACGGAGGAUCCAAGCGUUAUCCGGAAUCAUUGGGUUUAAAGGGUCCGUAGGCGGUCUUGUAAGUCAGUGGUGAAAGCCCAUCGCUCAACGGUGGAACGGCCAUUGAUACUGCAGGACUUGAAUUAUUGGGAAGUAACUAGAAUAUGUAGUGUAGCGGUGAAAUGCUUAGAGAUUACAUGGAAUACCAAUUGCGAAGGCAGGUUACUACCAAUGGAUUGACGCUGAUGGACGAAAGCGUGGGUAGCGAACAGGAUUAGAUACCCUGGUAGUCCACGCCGUAAACGAUGGAUACUAGCUGUUGGGAGCAAUCUCAGUGGCUAAGCGAAAGUGAUAAGUAUCCCACCUGGG